GCCGUGGUGGUGCAGUGGUCAGCACACCCGAUCCAGUAACCUAAGCUCCUAAUUCGCCCACCUAAAUCCCUAAUACCGCUUACCUAAGCUCCUAAAACUCUCUCUCUCAAGGAUCGGGAGGUCGCAGGUUCAAUUCCUGCCUACGACA
rnacentral:tRNA from 1 species